rnacentral:rRNA from 1 species
GACGAACGCUGGCGGCGUGCUUAACACAUGCAAGUCGAACGAUGAAGCCGGAGCUUGCUCUGGUGAAUUAGUGGCGAACGGGUGAGUAACACGUGAGUAACCUGCCCUUGACUCUGGGAUAACUGCGGGAAACUGUAGCUAAUACCGGAUACGACCCUCGGAGGCAUCUCCUGGGGGUGGAAAGAAUUUCGGUCAAGGAUGGACUCGCGGCCUAUCAGCUAGUUGGUGAGGUAAAGGCUCACCAAGGCGACGACGGGUAGCCGGCCUGAGAGGGUGACCGGCCACACUGGGACAGAGACACGGCCCAGACUCCUACGGGAGGCAGCAGUGGGGAAUAUUGGACAAUGGGGGCAACCCUGAUCCAGCCAUGCCGCGUGAGUGAUGAAGGCCUUAGGGUUGUAAAGCUCUUUUACCCGGGACGAUAAUGACUGUACCGGGAGAAUAAGCCCCGGCUAACUUCGUGCCAGCCGCCGCCGUAA